rnacentral:rRNA from 1 species
GUAGGUGGCAAGCGUUGUCCGGAAUUAUUGGGCGUAAAGCGCGCGCAGGCGGUCCUUUAAGUCUGAUGUGAAAGCCCACGGCUCAACCGUGGAGGGUCAUUGGAAACUGGAGGACUUGAGUACAGAAGAGGAAAGCGGAAUUCCAAGUGUAGCGGUGAAAUGCGUAGAGAUUUGGAGGAACACCAGUGGCGAAGGCGGCUUUCUGGUCUGUAACUGACGCUGAGGCGCGAAAGCGUGGGGAGCAAACAGGGAUUAGAUACCCUGGUAGUCCACGCCGUAAACGAUGAGUGCUAAGUGUUAGGGGGUUUCCGCCCCCUUAGUGCUGCAGCUAACGCAUUAAGCACUCCGCCUGGGGAUACGGCCGCAAGGCUG